ensembl:lncRNA
AGAGAGCGAAACGCAAGGAACAAAGCUUUACCUUCGUAUGAGAGGAACGGGCCGUCCAGGAGGGUCAAGGCUGGAUCUUAUUCAGUUACAGGGAUGAAAGUAAAUAUAAAAGAUGGUGACGUUCAUGAUCACACUCUGAUCACAGCGACACGAGUCGCGCCAGUUUAUCCGUCAAACGCAGCUGAACCGAGUCGACCACAAAACUGACGGGAGAAAGACGGUGUCUGUAUCUGAACCCUUCCGAUGACCAACAGCUCAUAUCUGUGUCUGUAAGUCACUGAAAACACACAUGAACAGCCGCAUCACACAGGACCGCGUUCAUUCACACAGCAGUUCAAUCCACAGUGAGUUCGGGUGCAGUAUGUGGUUAUCACUCUCAUAAAUGACCGAAACGUGUGAACGCAGGACCGUUUUUAAUCAUGACUGUGGAUAGUGAGUGAUGAUGAUGCUUUCGAAACCUUUGCAAAUCCUUUGUUUCGAACCAGUGAUUCGGAGUGCGUAUCAACCUGCCAAAGUCACGUGACUUCAGUAAACAAGGUUUCAAAACGAUUCAACAUUUCAGUGUUUCACCACCAGAGGGCGAUGAUCUCUGUGAACGCGUGAACCAGUGUCUAUAGCUGAUCUUGGAACAAUUUAGAAAAUUUGUAGAAAUUUAAAUGACACAUUUGUAUACUAAAAAGAAAGAAUUGAAAAAAGAUCCUGAUUAUCC